GUCCCGACUUCCCCGGUGAUAAUAUGGGCUUCCAUGUUGAGAGUCUGCCGGAGUCCUCAGCGAAAUUAUUCCGUGGACACGACUUCCUGAAUUCGAAACGCCUCCAGUUGUGACAGGAGUAUUGUCGGAAAGGGAUUAGGAGAAAAUGUCAAGCUUUAGUGAAGUUACAAAAUUGCCCACUGUCUCAAACAAAGCAAGCAUAACAGCUGCAGAAGGUGACAUUGGAGUUAUUCGGACACCCAAAGCCUACGAUUUAAAGCAGAAUCAAGAAGGAGGCUUCUGUAGGAGAGAGAGAGAGACAGUGUGAGCAGGGGAGGGUCAGAGAGAGAGA